GAUGAAGAACGUAGCGAAAUGCGAUACUUGGUGUGAAUUGCAGAAUCCCGUGAACCAUCGAGUCUUUGAACGCAAGUUGCGCCCGAAGCCAUCAGGUUGAGGGCACGUCUGCCUGGGCGUCACAUAUCGUUGCCCAUUGCCUAUUGCAGUGCAAUAGGAAUUUCUAGGGCGAAUGAUGGCUUCCCGUGAGCGUUGUUGCCUCGCGGUUGGUUGAAAAUCGAGUCCUUGGUAGGGUGUGCCAUGGUAGAUGGUGGUCGAGUUAGAACGAUACCGAUCAUGUGCAUGCUCCCCAAAAUAUGGCCUCUAUGACCCACACGCGUCUUUUGACGCUCAUGACGAGACCUCAGGUCAGGCGGGGCUACCCGCUGAAUUUAAGCAUAUCAAUAAGCGGAGGA
rnacentral:misc_RNA from 1 species